rnacentral:rRNA from 1 species
CAAACCUACGGGGGGCAGCAGUGGGGAAUAUUGGGCAAUGGGCGCAAGCCUGACCCAGCAACGCCGCGUGAAGGAAGAAGGCUUUCGGGUUGUAAACUUCUUUUAUCAGGGACGAAACAAAUGACGGUACCUGAUGAAUAAGCCACGGCUAACUCCGUGCCAGCAGCCGCGGUAAUACGGAGGAUGCGAGCGUUAUCCGGAUUUAUUGGGUUUAAAGGGUGCGCAGGCGGCACGGCAAGCCGGCGGUCAAAUCGAGGGGCUGAACCCAGGCCAGCGGUCGGAACUGCCGGGCUAGAGUGGGGGAG